GACGAACGCUGGCGGCGUGCCUAAUACAUGCAAGUCGAACGAACUGAUGCUGGAACUUGUUCCAGUUGACGUGAGUGGCGAACGGGUGAGUAACACGUGGGGAACCUACCCUUCAGCGGGGGAUAACCGUCGGAAACGAUGGCUAAUACCGCAUAACACUUUGUACCACAUGGUACGGAGUUAAAAGACGGCUUCGGCUGUCACUGAAGGAUGGUCCCGCGGUGCAUUAGCUAGUUGGUAAGGUAAUGGCUUACCAAGGCAGUGAUGCAUAGCCGACCUGAGAGGGUGAUCGGCCACAUUGGGACUGAGACACGGCCCAA
rnacentral:rRNA from 1 species